ensembl:rRNA 5S_rRNA 5S ribosomal RNA
GUCUACAGCCAUACCACCCUGAAUGCACCUGAUCUUGUCUGAUUUUGGAAGCUAAGCAGGGUGGGGCCUGGUUAGUACUUGGAGGGGAGACUGCCUGGGAAUACCGGGUGCUAUAGGCU